GUGUGUGUGUGUGUGUGUGUGUGUGUGUGUGUAAUUCAUUGGAAUGACUUACAGGCUGCAGUCCAACAAUGGCUAGCUAUGAAUGGAAAGUUCAAGAACCUAGUAGUUGCUCAGUCCCAGAGACUGGGUGUUUCAGCUGGGCUUCUGUAUAUGCUGGAAUCCUGAAGAAGUAGACUCUAGACUCUAAGGCCAAUGAAGGAAUGUGUGUACUGACAAGGUGAGGGCAAGCAGGUGAAGAAUAAAUGAACUCUUCCUUUUCUAUUCUCCUUAUAUAAGCUUCCAGCAGAAAGUGUAGCCCAGAUUAAAGUUGUGUCUUCCUGCCUCAAGAUCUGGAUUAAAGGAAAAAAGGACCAGACAUCAAUGAAGACAAGAUGCCCAGCUCCUGCUUCCAGGUUCCUUCGCUGUUUUGAGUUCCUAUCCUGACUUCCUUCAGUGAUAAACACGGAUAUGGUAAGCAAUGUGAACCCUUUUCUCCCCAAUUUGCUUUUGGUCAUGAUGUUUCAUUGCAGCCAUGGAAACCCUAGCUAAGAAAAGUUGGUACCAGGAGUGGGGUAUUGCUGUGA